CCCAGGUGAUGCUCUCCUGUUUGUGAGACAACUCGGCUCAGUGGGGAUGGGUCCCUCCUGUAGCGCCUUCCUGGAAGGUGCUGCUCUGGUUCUGGACAGUGCUGCUGAGCUUUUGUGUUGCAAGACAUCAGCUUUACUUUCCUUCCAAUUCAAACACCAGCUUCAAUGGAAGGCAGUUGUUCUCCCCCCCAGCUGAUGUAAAUCUCCAUGCCUAGGGAGCAGCAGCCAGGCCCCGGCCACCCAGAAGUCUGUGGAAGCACGCGCCGAUUUCUGCCAUAUAAUGUCUUUUCUGCCUACGUCCAAAUGACACCAGCCACCAGUUACGAAAGGAGAAUGAACAACCACUUUAUGUGCGAGAAAGCGAUUCCAUUAUGCCACUGCGCAGCGUUGGGAGCAUCUGUGGCAGUGGGGGCAUUUGGAUUAAAGGGAGUAAAGGCUGCACAUCUGCUGCCCUCCACCCCUAUUCACAGAACGCAGUGUUAAUCCUAAAGAAAAGAGAGCAAUUAGCUUGUAAACCCUUC